AUCCAGCCAUGCCGCGUGUGUGAAGAAGGCCUUUUGGUUGUAAAGCACUUUAAGCGAGGAGGAGGAGCUCUUGGUUAAUACCCAAGAUGCUUGGACGUUACUCGCAGAAUAAGCACCGGCUAACUCUGUGCCAGCAGCCGCGGUAAUACAGAGGGUGCAAGCGUUAAUCGGAUUUACUGGGCGUAAAGCGCGCGUAGGUGGCCAAUUAAGUCAAAUGUGAAAUCCCCGAGCUUAACUUGGGAAUUGCAUUCGAUACUGGUUGGCUAGAGUAUGGGAGAGGAUGGUAGAAUUCCAGGUGUAGCGGUGAAAUGCGUAGAGAUCUGGAGGAAUACCGAUGGCGAAGGCAGCCAUCUGGCCUAAUACUGACACUGAGGUGCGAAAGCAUGGGGAGCAAACAGGAUUAGAUACCCUGGUAGUCCAUGCCGUAAACGAUGUCUACUAGCCGUUGGGGCCUUUGAGGCUUUAGUGGCGCAGCUAACGCGAUAAGUAGACCGCCUGGGGAGUACGGUCGCAAGACU
rnacentral:rRNA from 1 species